rnacentral:rRNA from 1 species
CGGGAGGCAGCAGUAGGGAAUCUUCCGCAAUGGACGAAAGUCUGACGGAGCAACGCCGCGUGAGUGAUGAAGGUUUUCGGAUCGUAAAGCUCUGUUGUUAGGGAAGAACAAGUGCCGUUCAAAUAGGGCGGCACCUUGACGGUACCUAACCAGAAAGCCACGGCUAACUACGUGCCAGCAGCCGCGGUAAUACGUAGGUGGCAAGCGUUGUCCGGAAUUAUUGGGCGUAAAGGGCUCGCAGGCGGUUUCUUAAGUCUGAUGUGAAAGCCCCCGGCUCAACCGGGGAGGGUCAUUGGAAACUGGGGAACUUGAGUGCAGAAGAGGAGAGUGGAAUUCCACGUGUAGCGGUGAAAUGCGUAGAGAUGUGGAGGAACACCAGUGGCGAAGGCGACUCUCUGGUCUGUAACUGACGCUGAGGAGCGAAAGCGUGGGGAGCGAACAGGAUUAGAUACCCUGGUAGUCCACGCCGUAAACGAUGAGUGCUAAGUGUUAGGGGGUUUCCGCCCCUUAGUGCUGCAGCUAACGCAUUAAGCACUCCGCCUGGGGAGUACGGUCGCAAG